rfam:Ruminococcus sp. YE71 genome assembly, contig: IE40DRAFT_scaffold00002.2
GGGAGCCGUAUGCGGGAAAUCUGCACGUACGGUUCUUAGAGGAGUUUAUUUCAACUGUUAUGAUUGAAAGGAGAAAUAGAUUUACUUAU